rnacentral:tRNA from 1 species
GGCGCUGUACGCUUAACGGUAAAGACGGUGUCAACCCCGCAAGCAUGUAUACAGGUUCGACUCCUGUCAGCGCCU